UGGUUUAGGUUAACCCUGAGUUGCUGAUUU
rnacentral:piRNA from 1 species